rnacentral:rRNA from 1 species
GACGAACGCUGGCGGCGUGCUUAACACAUGCAAGUCGAACGGAAAGGCCCUGCUUUUGUGGGGUGCUCGAGUGGCGAACGGGUGAGUAACACGUGUGUAACCUGCCCUUGACUUUGGGAUAACUUCAGGAAACUGGGGCUAAUACCGGAUAGGAGCUCCUGCUGCAUGGUGGGGGUUGGAAAGUUUCGGCGGUUGGGGUUGGACUCGCGGCUUAUCAGCUUGUUGGUGGGGUAGUGGCUUACCAAGGCGUGGAGGGGUAGCCGGCCUGAGAGGGUGACCGGCCACAUUGGGACUGAGAUACGGCCCAGACUCCUACGGGAGGCAGCAGUGGGGAAUAUUGCACAAUGGGCGGAGGCCUGAUGAAGCAACGCCGCGUGCGGGAUAACGGCCUUGGGGUGGUAAACCGCUUUCGCCUGUAACGAAGCGUGUGUGACGGUAAUGGGUAAAGAAGCACCGGCUAACUACGUG